rnacentral:lncRNA from 1 species
UGGUUCUGUAUUCCAGAAAAGUUCUAGAGGGAGCCCCCUUCUAAGUCAUACUUAGGGUGUUUAUAUAGGCUUUGGAUUGGCUUUCAUCCUCCCUAAGUAUCCUUUUCCGUGUAAAAUACAAUUCUUUGAAAAAGGGACACGCCCGUGCGCCACGGCCGUGUGACGUGAUUGCCAGGCUGUGUUCGAUCUGUCAAAUUACACACGACCAUGUGGGUCAAUGGCCAGGCCGUGUGAAUCGUGAAAGCCUUGGUCGACACCCUCGAAAGACACGGGUAUGUGAGCUGCCCAUGUGGCAAGGCUUAGGCCGUGUCAUCUUCUCGAUUUGGUCCGUUUUGUCCAUAUUUUGCUCGUUUUUGGCUCUUUUGCAGAGAUGAAAAAAAGAGGGCGCUUUCCUAUGUUGCACUGAAAAAAUUAAAUAAGGACAAUGGAUAAGAACGUCUUCUCUUAGGUUUCUUCCUCCCGCG